rnacentral:rRNA from 1 species
UGUAAAGUUCAAGCUCCGAUAUUGAGGGCGAAACCGCGAAUGGCUCAUUAAAUCAGUCAUAAUCUAUUUGAUUGUUUAAAGGUUAUAUGGAUAACUGUGGUAAUUCUAGAGCUAAUACAUGCACAAAGGGGGCGACUCCGUGAGGAGAAGCUCUGCGUUUAUUAGUUUAAGAUCAAUAUUUAAUUGGUGGUGACUCUGAGUAAAUAAUGGCUUUAAAGCCAUGUUGCCGACCUGGCAUCCCAAAUGCUUGCUUGCAAGCAGCCAGGCGAAUCAAGCGAGUGUCUGCUCUAUCAACUGUGGAUGGUAGGGUAAUUGCCUACCAUGGUGAUGACGGGUAACGGGGAGUUAGGGCUCGACUCCGGAGAACAAGCCUGAGAAACGGCUAGUAGGACUAAGGUCUGCAGCAGGCGCGAAACUUACACAAUGCUAGUACCUAGCGAUGUAGUGAAGAAAAAUAACGAUGUAUUGGCUUUUUAACAAGCUAGUACAAUUGGAAUGAGACGACUUUAAACAAGUUAGUCGAGUAACAAAUGGAGGGCAAGUCUGGUGCCAGCAGCCGCGGUAAUUCCAGCUCCAUUAGCAUACAUUAAAGUUGUUGCGGUUAAAAAGCUCGUAGUUGAAUUUCUGGCGGGCUCUAUAGGGUGGCGGCCGUGAAGGUUGUAUGCUUCGGCGCACAACUGGCCGCCCUACCCUCUAGGAACCCGUUGUUUCGUCACUUAAUCGAGUGCGAAGCGGGGCGCGUGGUAUGAUCCUUGUGAUCGGCGAUGCGUCAAGUUUACCUUGAGAAAAUUAGAGUGCUCAGAGCAGGCAGUUUGGGUGUAAAAGCCCAUUUAUGCUUGAAUAAUGUUGCAUGGAAUAAUAGAAUACGGCCUCGGUUCUAUUCUGUUGGUCUUAUAGAACAACAAACAAGUUGGUUGCGGCACUAAACGGUUGUGGAUAUGCGUGGCUCCGAAUCGGACCGCUGGAUUCAGCUUGUUGUCUGGGGCCUAAAAAUCUCAGUACCUUCUGAUCCGCGGCGCCGACUUGUUGCCAUACAAGCGCAUGUUCGCUAACCAGCCACCAACCAACUGAGGCAAUGGUUAAAAGAAAUAGUUGCGGCGGCAUCAGUACUGCAUCGUGAGAGGUGAAAUUCUUAGACCGAUGCAAGACUAACUGAAGCGAAAGCGUUUGCCGAGGAUAUUUUCAUUAAUCAAGAACGAAAGUUAGAGGUUCGAAGGCGAUCAGAUACCGCCCUAGUUCUAACCAUAAACGUUGCCAACUAGCAAUUGGGUUGCGAUUCCUUUAAUUGGAGGCCUAAAAACCUCCAAUCAUUAUGAUCCACCCAGCGGCUCUCGUAGGGAAACCAAAGUGUUUGGGUUCCGGGGGAAGUAUGAUUGCAAAGUUGAAACUUAAAGGAAUUGACGGAAGGGCACCACCAGGAGUGGAGCCUGCGGCUUAAUUUGACUCAACACGGGGAAACUUACUAGAUUAGAACUCUGCUAUGAUUGACAGAUUGAUAGCUCUUUCUUGAUUCAGAGGAUGGUGGUGCAUGGCCGUUCUUGAUUCGUAUUCCGAAACGUCUGCUUAAUUGCGAUAACGAGUGAGACCUCAACCAACUAACUAGUCGCUUGGUGCGCUGUGGGACGCUAAAGUCUCCAUCGGAUCACUUGUUCAGGGGCUUCGGUCACUGAAUAGGCCCGGUAGGGAUGUCCUCUGCUCGUCGGCGGACUUCUUAGAGGGAUAAACGGUGUUUUAGCCGUAAGAAACGAGGCAAUAACAGGUCUGUGAUGCCCUUAGAUAUUCUAGGCCGCACGCGUGCUACAAUGGCGUGUGCAGAAAGCUUAUUCGAGGUUCGUCCCUGGAGAACUAGUCGUUUGGUGUAUGUAGCGGGCAACUGUUGCAUGCAUCGGCGAAAAAGUGACCAGGUGCUUACGGGCCGAGAGAAACCGUGCUCGAAAGAGUACGGCAAUCAUAAAUACACGCCGUGAUUUGGGAUUGGGGAUUGCAAUUGUUGCCCAUGAACGAGGAAUUCCCAGUAAGCGCAAUUCAUCAUAUUGCGUUGAUUACGUCCCUGCCCUUUGUACACACCGCCCGUCGCUACUACCGAUUGGAAGUUUUAGUGAGGCAUCUGGACCUGCCAGCCAUGUGAGGGGGCAACCCUUCCGAGGAUGGGCGGGGAAGUUUGUCGAACUCAAAUUUCUAGAGGAAGUAAAAGUCGUAACAAGGUUUCCGU